CAGCUCCAAUUGCGUAUAUUAAAGUUGUUGCAGUUAAAAAGCUCGUAGUUGGAUCUAGGGACGCGCAUUUCAAGCGCCCGUGCCAUCGGGUCAAACCGGUGGCUGCGUUGGCGUUGCGGGCUCGGUCCGUCGGUGCCCCACAAAGGGCUACUGGCGUGUCAACCGGCCCGCCCGUCCCCUCCUUCUGGAUUCCCGUUCCUGCUAUUGAGUUAGUGGGGACGUCACAGGGGGUCCAUCGUCGUGCGGCGUCMAAACCGUGCGGCGGUGGGUCCCUGGGGCCCAGAUCGUUUACCGUGAAAAAAUUAGAGUGUUCAAAGCAGGCAGAUCCAAUUUUCUGCCACCGAAUACAUUAGCAUGGGAUAAUGGAAUAGGACCCUGUCCUCCUAUUUUCAGUUGGUUUUGGCAGCGCGAGGACUAGGGUAAUGAUUAAUAGGGAUAGUUGGGGGCAUUAAUAUUUAAUUGUCAGAGGUGAAAUUCUUGGAUUUAUGAAAGAUUAACUUCUGCGAAAGCAUCUGCCAAGGAUGUUUUCAUUAAUCAAGAACGAAAGUUAGGGGAUCGAAGACGAUCAGAUACCGUCGUAGUCUUAACCAUAACCGAUGCCGACCAGCGAUUAGGAGACGUUGAAUACAAAACACCACCAUCGGCGCGGUCGUCCUUGGCGUCUCGGUCCUUCACGGGGCCSSGGCGC
rnacentral:rRNA from 1 species